GGGGAUUUAGCUCAGUGGUAGAGCGCUUGCCUAGCAAGUGCAAGGCACAAGGCCCUGGGUUCGGUCCCCAGCUCCG
rnacentral:tRNA from 1 species